ensembl:rRNA 5S_rRNA 5S ribosomal RNA
GCUUAUGGCCACACCGCCUGGUUCACGCCUGAUCUCGGAAGCUAAGAUAGGUUGGGCCUGGUUAGCACUUGGAUGGGAUACCACCUGGGAAUACCAGGUGCUGCAAGCU